rnacentral:tRNA from 1 species
AGGAUCUUAAGUUAAUAAAACUAUUGACCUUCAAAGUCAAAAAUAAUACAAAUUAGAUCUUA